AUUCUGACCUGGAGAUACCAUGAUCACAAAAAAGUGGUUUUCCUAGGGUGAGACUCAUCCAUUGUAUUCCAGGUGUGCUGACCCUUGCGAUUUCCCCAAAUGCAGGAAACUCGACUGCAUAGUUUAUCAUAGUUGCUGGACUACAACUCCCAUCGU
rnacentral:snRNA from 1 species